rnacentral:lncRNA from 1 species
AUGACUUUAUUUAGGGAUGCCAUGUUUAAUGUCAGGAAACACCGGUCAUGCGUGCUGCCAGCAGCGUCCGUGAUGAUGGAACAAAUGAUCCACCCUCAUCCUUGGGCCUCAGCCUCACCUUAUCUCCUGGCAGGACUGUUUUCUAGAGCACAGGCAGAACCAGCCUUUGACUUCUUGAGGCUUUGCAAACACCCACUAGAUGAGCUCUGCCAUGGCAGCUGGUCCAAGGGUAACACAGUGGGCAGCUGGACGGGGCUACAAGGGAGUUGUGGUAAUUUCAUAAACUUUUUUUCCCCGCUCUUUCUUUUAUUCAGGCUUUUGUUUGACCACAUCACAGGUCAAACUGACCACUAAAAGGGCAGUGCACACUGUCAGCACCUUGUACUAUAGCUCAUAGUAAAUGUUACAGCUACAUUUCAGUCAGCUAUGGAAAUGAUUGUUCCGGUGUACAUUUAUGUGCAUGCACAUGCAUGGGGCCGUAUUUUCUGUUUUGCAGGAUUGGACGAAUAUCUCAAUUUCUUGGCAGAUGACAGACUGUUUGUCAUCCACGCCACAAUCAAGAACUGACCUUCAGCAGCAUAACUACUAUUAUCCGGUCGUUUUUCUCCUCUCUCCUCCCUUCAUCCAUACAUUUCUAUUGCCUCUCUUACCAUUUUAUCUUUCUAAUUGUACCUCCUUUUACUUCUCCUUCACAGUUUUUCUGUCCGGCCUUUGUCAUUGAUCACUGAUGCGACUGGCUGCCUCCAUGCUCAGUAAUGACCUGCACUGGUAACCAGCAGGCUGCUCCUUUUGGCCCCCUCGUAGAUUGAACUGUCAGAUGGCAGCGAUUAAUGGCUGGUCAGAGACACGGACUCACACCUGCAAUAUCCAACAGUGCGCUGUCCAUCCCAUCCCAGUAUUUGCACACGUUGACAGAUGUCUCUACACUUGGGAAUGCUAAUUAAGGGUUUCUUGUAAUGAUAAGACAGUUCUAUUCUAUACAGAACAAUGCAGAAGAACAGGAAUAUACUGUAACUCAGUCCUUAAUGAAUGUGAACUUUUACUAAAAUAGAAAACAUAUCCAUUCACAUUCUGCAACUAUGUCAACAGAAAAUAUUUAAAAUGUUUUAUCAGGUUGCCUUCUCUACUUUUUACAUCUGGAAUGAUUCAUUUAGUGUGCUGUUCACAGCUGAGCCACUAUACUCAAAAGAAUCACAAUAAAUGUCUGAGAUAUAAUUAAGUGAGUGGAGUGUUUGGUCUGGUUUGUCUGCUGAGAUGUGUGCAGUUGGUCCAUGUGGCCAUCCCAUGUUGUGCUUGGCUGGUAGUUUGCUAACUGUCAACGCAGUAUCUCCUAACACUGAUGAGCAGAAAUUUUCCAAACGAUUCCCAAAGCUUUCAUUCCUUUGUUUUAAUGCUCAUCCAAAAGAAACGGCCAAGAAAACUGUGGUUUCUCCCCUGCUUAGCAUUCCUGAAAAGAUAAAGAGCACAGAGGGCCAAAUUUCCAGUGAGUUCUUGAGGUACAACUAACCUUUUUAGUAGCUGCUUUUAGUUCCAAAAACAUCAAAUUGCUGUAUUUGACCAACAGCUGCAUCAGGAACCAACUAUUUCAUUAGAGGAAAUCUUUGGAUUGGGACCAAAAGGAUAUACAGUACAACUUCCCUAGUUUU